rnacentral:rRNA from 1 species
CGCUGGCGGCAUGCCUAACACAUGCAAGUCGAACGAAGGCUUCGGCCUUAGUGGCGCACGGGUGCGUAACGCGUGGGAAUCUGCCCAAAGGUACGGAAUAACUCGGGGAAACUCGUGCUAAUACCGUAUGAUGUCGCAAGACCAAAGAUUUAUCGCCUUUGGAUGAGCCCGCGUUGGAUUAGCUUGUUGGUGGGGUAAAGGCCUACCAAGGCGACGAUCCAUAGCUGGUCUGAGAGGAUGAUCAGCCACACUGGGACUGAGACACGGCCCAGACUCCUACGGGAGGCAGCAGUGGGGAAUAUUGGACAAUGGGCGGAAGCCUGAUCCAGCAAUGCCGCGUGAGUGAUGAAGGCCUUAGGGUUGUAAAGCUCUUUUACCCGGGAAGAUAAUGACUGUACCGGGAGAAUAAGCUCCGGCUAACUCCGUGCCAGCAGCCGCGGUAAUACGGAGGGAGCUAGCGUUGUUCGGAAUUACUGGGCGUAAAGCGCACGUAGGCGGCCUUGUAAGUUAGAGGUGAAAGCCUGGUGCUCAACACCAGAACUGCCUUUAAGACUGCAUCGCUUGAACACGGGAGAGGUGAGUGGAAUUCC